CUGGGAUGGAGGUGAUGUUAAGAACUACUGCCUCUCUGCCUGGGCUGUUCAAAAUGCUUUCCUCGAUUCUCUCUUCCUCUGCUAUCUUUCCCCUGGUGGCUUCCUGGAGAUAAGUCUCAGCUCUUGGCUGGGAACCUCGCCUGGAUUUUUCUACCCUAAGGAAGACACAAAACCUCCUGAACCUCCAACCUUGGAGCCUUCCCCCUGCCCCAGCCCGGCUCACAACGCUGCUGCUGUAUGCCCAUGAGGAGGAACAGAUGAAACACAAGGCAGAAGGAGAAUCUGAAAAUGUUUGAGGCCACGAGAAGUUUCAUUUUAGACAGGACUCACACAUCUGUCUACAGGUCCAUUCUGAAAUACAUCUCUCCCCUCUCCAUGGAGCAGCCUCACACUUUUGAUGUUUCAGCAGCUAGAAAAUCGCAAGCCCUAGGCAACCAUUUAGCUAAGCUCUGGCCUUCCUUUCUUUUUCCUUUUUCUCUAUUUGGAGCAUGACCUGAGGUUUGUAUUCAUUUGUUCAGGUUAAUAAAAA